CAUUUUAAAGCAAUCUAAAAGACGCCCUGUGACGUCUUAGAACUCAAGGUAAAAAACACCCGAGGACAAGAAAUAUUUAGAUUUUUCGUAAAAUUCUCAAUCACAAGUAUAUCAGCGGGUGUAUUGUAUACAUUUUUAUGAAGCUCAAUCUGAUUUUACUUCAAUUUUGUGACGUCGUUCUUUUGGUGGAUUUUGUUUUUGUGUUUCUACUUCACGGACGCCUAUUUUGCUGCCCUCGAAGGAAUUCUUGCCUGGCAACCUUCCCUUCAUAACGAGGAUGUUGAUCCGUGUCUUCACCUUGCUGUUUGUAACACGACUGACCCAGAGCAUGCCAUACCUACCAGGCCCCCCACCCAGUGGUUCAAACGUCAAUAAACUAGGGGGUCACGAAGGGGGGCCACUCAGUGCAAUUUUGGCGCAUGGAGCUAUACAACGACAAGCAGCAUCGCCAAUAGGCGAAGUCCUCCUACCGCAAACACGAGGUUGUCACCCUCUUCACGAUAUAGCAAAUGCAAAAAACGACACCAGUGCUAAAGAAAGACUGGCAGUGGACACAAAACUAACGUACACGUGCAAUACAGGUUAUGAGCAAACAGGGGGCGACCAGGUCAGAACAUGUAAUGUGGAUUCGAAAUGGUCCGGAGUAGACAUUGAAUGCACAAUAAUUAGUUGUGCCAGCCUUAAUACC